rnacentral:lncRNA from 1 species
UUGACCAAAGUCAACCUUCUAACCAAAAACUAUUUCUUAAUCAUUUUCAUAUUUUUAGUCCAUUUCUAAUCAUCAUAUUUUUAAACCCAUUUCUAAUCAUCAUAUUUUUGAACCCAUUCAUAAUCACAUUUCAACCCAUUUCAAAUCCAAUCCAAUAACCAUUUCAUUUUCAACAUCCAAUCUUUGAUCCACUUAUCCAAUUCAUACCCAACUUCUAUUACCAUAAAACCAAUUAUCCAUAUCAUAUAUCCAUUCA